rnacentral:rRNA from 1 species
GGGUUGUGAGGUUAAGCGACUAAGCGUACACGGUGGAUGCCCUGGCAGUCAGAGGCGAUGAAGGACGUGCUAAUCUGCGAUAAGCGUCGGUAAGGUGAUAUGAACCGUUAUAACCGGCGAUUUCCGAAUGGGGAAACCCAGUGUGUUUCGACACACUAUCAUUAACUGAAUCCAUAGGUUAAUGAGGCGAACCGGGGGAACUGAAACAUCUAAGUACCCCGAGGAAAAGAAAUCAACCGAGAUUCCCCCAGUAGCGGCGAGCGAACGGGGAGCAGCCCAGAGCCUGAAUCAGUGUGUGUGUUAGUGGAAGCGUCUGGAAAGGCGCGCGAUACAGGGUGACAGCCCCGUACACAAAAAUGCACAUACUGUGAGCUCGAUGAGUAGGGCGGGACACGUGGUAUCCUGUCUGAAUAUGGGGGGACCAUCCUCCAAGGCUAAAUACUCCUGACUGACCGAUAGUGAACCAGUACCGUGAGGGAAAGGCGAAAAGAACCCCGGCGAGGGGAGUGAAAAAGAACCUGAAACCGUGUACGUACAAGCAGUGGGAGCACGCUUCGGCGUGUGACUGCGUACCUUUUGUAUAAUGGGUCAGCGACUUAUAUUCUGUAGCAAGGUUAACCGAAUAGGGGAGCCGAAGGGAAACCGAGUCUUAACUGGGCGUUAAGUUGCAGGGUAUAGACCCGAAACCCGGUGAUCUAGCCAUGGGCAGGUUGAAGGUUGGGUAACACUAACUGGAGGACCGAACCGACUAAUGUUGAAAAAUUAGCGGAUGACUUGUGGCUGGGGGUGAAAGGCCAAUCAAACCGGGAGAUAGCUGGUUCUCCCCGAAAGCUAUUUAGGUAGCGCCUCGUGAAUUCAUCUCCGGGGGUAGAGCACUGUUUCGGCAAGGGGGUCAUCCCGACUUACCAACCCGAUGCAAACUGCGAAUACCGGAGAAUGUUAUCACGGGAGACACACGGCGGGUGCUAACGUCCGUCGUGAAGAGGGAAACAACCCAGACCGCCAGCUAAGGUCCCAAAGUCAUGGUUAAGUGGGAAACGAUGUGGGAAGGCCCAGACAGCCAGGAUGUUGGCUUAGAAGCAGCCAUCAUUUAAAGAAAGCGUAAUAGCUCACUGGUCGAGUCGGCCUGCGCGGAAGAUGUAACGGGGCUAAACCAUGCACCGAAGCUGCGGCAGCGACACUAUGUGUUGUUGGGUAGGGGAGCGUUCUGUAAGCCUGUGAAGGUGUGCUGUGAGGCAUGCUGGAGGUAUCAGAAGUGCGAAUGCUGACAUAAGUAACGAUAAAGCGGGUGAAAAGCCCGCUCGCCGGAAGACCAAGGGUUCCUGUCCAACGUUAAUCGGGGCAGGGUGAGUCGACCCCUAAGGCGAGGCCGAAAGGCGUAGUCGAUGGGAAACAGGUUAAUAUUCCUGUACUUGGUGUUACUGCGAAGGGGGGACGGAGAAGGCUAUGUUGGCCGGGCGACGGUUGUCCCGGUUUAAGCGUGUAGGCUGGUUUUCCAGGCAAAUCCGGAAAAUCAAGGCUGAGGCGUGAUGACGAGGCACUACGGUGCUGAAGCAACAAAUGCCCUGCUUCCAGGAAAAGCCUCUAAGCAUCAGGUAACAUUAAAUCGUACCCCAAACCGACACAGGUGGUCAGGUAGAGAAUACCAAGGCGCUUGAGAGAACUCGGGUGAAGGAACUAGGCAAAAUGGUGCCGUAACUUCGGGAGAAGGCACGCUGAUAUGUAGGUGAAGUCCCUCGCGGAUGGAGCUGAAAUCAGUCGAAGAUACCAGCUGGCUGCAACUGUUUAUUAAAAACACAGCACUGUGCAAACACGAAAGUGGACGUAUACGGUGUGACGCCUGCCCGGUGCCGGAAGGUUAAUUGAUGGGGUUAGCGGUAACGCGAAGCUCUUGAUCGAAGCCCCGGUAAACGGCGGCCGUAACUAUAACGGUCCUAAGGUAGCGAAAUUCCUUGUCGGGUAAGUUCCGACCUGCACGAAUGGCGUAAUGAUGGCCAGGCUGUCUCCACCCGAGACUCAGUGAAAUUGAACUCGCUGUGAAGAUGCAGUGUACCCGCGGCAAGACGGAAAGACCCCGUGAACCUUUACUAUAGCUUGACACUGAACAUUGAGCCUUGAUGUGUAGGAUAGGUGGGAGGCUUUGAAGUGUGGACGCCAGUCUGCAUGGAGCCGACCUUGAAAUACCACCCUUUAAUGUUUGAUGUUCUAACGUUGACCCGUAAUCCGGGUUGCGGACAGUGUCUGGUGGGUAGUUUGACUGGGGCGGUCUCCUCCUAAAGAGUAACGGAGGAGCACGAAGGUUGGCUAAUCCUGGUCGGACAUCAGGAGGUUAGUGCAAUGGCAUAAGCCAGCUUGACUGCGAGCGUGACGGCGCGAGCAGGUGCGAAAGCAGGUCAUAGUGAUCCGGUGGUUCUGAAUGGAAGGGCCAUCGCUCAACGGAUAAAAGGUACUCCGGGGAUAACAGGCUGAUACCGCCCAAGAGUUCAUAUCGACGGCGGUGUUUGGCACCUCGAUGUCGGCUCAUCACAUCCUGGGGCUGAAGUAGGUCCCAAGGGUAUGGCUGUUCGCCAUUUAAAGUGGUACGCGAGCUGGGUUUAGAACGUCGUGAGACAGUUCGGUCCCUAUCUGCCGUGGGCGCUGGAGAACUGAGGGGGGCUGCUCCUAGUACGAGAGGACCGGAGUGGACGCAUCACUGGUGUUCGGGUUGUCAUGCCAAUGGCACUGCCCGGUAGCUAAAUGCGGAAGAGAUAAGUGCUGAAAGCAUCUAAGCACGAAACUUGCCCCGAGAUGAGUUCUCCCUGACUCCUUGAGAGUCCUGAAGGAACGUUGAAGACGACGACGUUGAUAGGCCGGGUGUGUAAGCGCAGCGAUGCGUUGAGCUAACC